GAAAAUAUGCCGGGCCGUCGGAUACUUACAUUAGAUAGACAAAUAUCAUUGUUCGGAGGGAAUAUUAUAUAGUCUGGUUUUAAAAAAACGAAUACAAAAAAAUUUGAACGUAAAUAAUUAAUAGUUUUAACGAACGUUGACAAAACUGUUUGAUAAUUAUAAUUCGCCAGACUGCACCGGGCGAGUCGGAUUAAAAGUCGCUUGACUACUUUG